rnacentral:rRNA from 1 species
AAAUCAAAUCAUGUAAGUUUUUAAUGUCCGAACAGACUACCCUCUAUAAGCUCCUUCACCAAAAAUAAAAAUUAAUUCAACAUCGAGGUCAUAAACUUAAUUAUUAAUAAGAACUUGCUAACUAAAUAAUGCUGUUAUCCCUAGAGUAACUUUAAACUUCUUAUAAAUUAAAAAUUCCAAAAAUCUUUAUCUUCAAAUAUUACCCCAAUCAAAAUUACAUAUAAUAAUAAGCUUCUAGGGUCUUCUCGUCCCAAAAAUUUAUAAAAGCAUUUUUACUUUUAAUUUAAAUUCAAAAUAAUCAAAUAAAACCUUUCUUUUUAGUCUUAACCCUUCAUUCCAGCUUCCAAUUAAAAAA